rnacentral:rRNA from 1 species
GGUUCGGCCCUCGGCAGACGGCUCAGUAACACGUGGAUAAUCUAUCCUUAGGUGGAGGAUAAUCUCGGGAAACUGAGAAUAAUACUCCAUAGAUCUAGGAUGCUGGAAUGCACCUAGGUUGAAAGCUCCGGCGCCUAAGGGUGAGUCUGCGGACUAUCAGGCUGUAGUCAGGGUAAAGACCUGACUAACCUACGACGGAUACGGGUUGUGAGAGCAAUAACCCGGAGACGAUAUCUGAGACACGAUAUCGGGCCCUACGGGGCGCAGCAGGCGCGAAACCUUCACACUGUGCGAAAGCGCGAUGAGGGAAUCCCAAGUGUUUGCUCGUAAGAGUAAACUGUUUCUGUGUCUAAAAAGCAUAGAGAGUAAGAGCUGGGUAAGACGGGUGCCAGCCGCCGCGGUAAUACCUGCAGCUCAAGUGGUGACCGCUAUUAUUGGGCCUAAAACGUCCGUAGCCGGUUUAGUAAAUGCCUGGGUAAAUCGAGCCGCUUAACGGUUCGAAUUCCGGGUAGACUGCUAAACUUGAGACCGGGAGAGGCUAGAGGUACUCCUGGGGUUAGAGGUGAAAUUCUGUA